GCCCGGGUGGCCGAACCCGGUUAGGCAGUCGGCUGCAGACCGACGCAUACGGGUAAAAAUCCCGUCCCGGGCU
rnacentral:tRNA from 1 species